rnacentral:misc_RNA from 1 species
GUGAGUCAUCGAAUCUUUGAACGCACCUUGCGCUCCUUGGUAUUCCGAGGAGCAUGCCUGUUUGAGUGUCAUGAAAUUCUCAACCUCUUCUUGCUUUGCGGCUUGAAGUAGGCUUGGAUUUGGGAGCUUUGCUGGUUUCACAAUCGGCUCUCCUUGAAUGUAUUAGCUGGACUUUCCGAUUUAAUAGCGGUUCACGGUGUGAUAACUAUCUACGCCUGAUAAAUCCGUCUUUGAGUCUGGUCGAGCUUCUAAUCAGUUCGUCCAUCGCUGGGCAAACACUUUUAAGAUCUGACCUCAAAU